rnacentral:lncRNA from 1 species
AUGGAAGCAUGGUUAAGCUACUUCCUCCUGGGGCUGCCUUUGGAGCGUUGGUGUCUUGGGCUGCUGGAAGGCACGGCGGAGGGAGCACCACCACCACUCGCCAAGGUCUUAAUAGACUCCGCGCUCCAUAAAGUGGACACAGAGCCAGUGACGGCGGAGAGGGCCCGGCGGGCGCCCACCGGCAUUGGCUGCGCUCCGAUUACUUCGUUAAGCAGUGUCAUGCUUCUUCUUCUUCUUCUUCUUCUUUUUUUAAUUUUUCCCUCCUACUGUGAGAACUGUUCACUUGGAGACUCCCUGUCCUAAUUACAAAGAGCCCUUUUAACCACAGGUCACAGGACUUGGCUCUCUUGACAGGAAAUAAGGAAACAAGCUACCUUCCUGGAAAAAAAAAUUCAAACUUCUACUUCUCAGAUUAGUUAAAUGAAGCUUGUCGACGGUUGGGAGUUGAGUCUUAUGACAGUUGGUUAAUCGCAGUUGGUACAUUAACUAUGUUUUAACCAGAACUGUUUGGGAUCUAAGUAGAUUCAAAAAAUAAGGCAAGCCUAGGCACGUCCCACGAAAAACACCUAAAAUAACCACAAAGUUGAUAUUGGUUUUACUUGCUAUAGGUAUUACAAUACAAAAUAGAUUCCUGUACCUUUAACACUGUAGUUAAGUAAAUUUACAAACAUUAACAUUUUUUAAAUGACACUAAAGCUGCUUUAAAUCCUAGGAAGGCCUCCCUCUCUCUCUCUCUCUCUCUGCUCUUUCUUUUUUGAUUCUACCUUCAAAAUGUCCUCUGUCUAUAUUUUUUAUAUUAAAUAUUCUCUGCAAAGUCUAUCUAGUAAAUAUCUGGUUCCAAGUCUGUGUACACCAUUCUCAAAUAUAAAACUUUUCAAAUGAAGAUAAACCUUUAGUUGAAUUGGUUUAUUUUCUGAUUUGAUUCUUUAAUGUUAUUAUAGAAGAUGGAAUAUCAUUUGCAGUAACAUUAAAAAAACUCUGGUGGUUUUCUUAUUGAAAGACUAUUAUAAUAACAAGCAGAAAUAAAGCAACCAAGAUUUAGAAAAAUAUCAGUGUUUUUGUGUGUUUAUUAUUUGCACUAACAUAUAAUGUCAGAAUGAUAAUUAUAGUG